UACAGAGGUCCCAAGCGUUAUCCGGAUUCACUGGGUUUAAAGGGUGCGUAGGUGGAUUAGUAAGUCAGUGGUGAAAUCUCCGGGCUUAACCCGGAAACUGCCAUUGAUACUAUUAGUCUUGAAUACCGUGGAGGUCAGCGGAAUAUGUCAUGUAGCGGUGAAAUGCUUAGAUAUGACAUAGAACACCAAUUGCGAAGGCAGCUGGCUACACGAAUAUUGACACUCAGGCACGAAAGCGUGGGGAUCAAACAGG
rnacentral:rRNA from 1 species